AGUAAACAAUCUGCCAUUCCCCAUUCUGCCUAAUAAAAGGCAGCAGCACUAAAUAAACAAUCUGCCACUCUGCCUAACAAAUAAACAAUCUGCGAUGUUUUAAUCUAUUAUUUUAGUCUAAACAUAAGUGGAACUGUAAUACAAUCUGACAGAUGGAUCAGACAAAUCUGUUAAGACAGUAAAACAAGCUAAUGACUAACGAAGAUGAGAUGUGAAGUACGUAGCAGACGAUAAUAUGGCCUAUAUUGAAUCUCAACAAAGCCAACAAAGAUUUGAUGCUUUUUGACAAAAGAUGAGAAUAUUGGAUGCAAACGGGAUUUGAGACAGUUGCUUAAGCAUAGGAUUUUUGGUUGGACACAGUGAGUAUGUUUGUGUAUGUCUGGGCAGCUUUAGUAGCUAACUUCUUGACCACAAUGCUUGCAUUCUAUUUUGCGAACUUCUCUAUUAUCUUCUAUCACCUCCAAUUGUUCCCAAUUAUGAGAGCGUACUUUAGGAGUGCAAGGCAUGAUUGCACUUGAACCUAAAAAAAAGAUAAAUCAUAAGUUAUAAUAUUAUUCUUUGAUGAUAAUAGAACAAAACUACAAACAAAUAGAGUAUUAAACUUAUCACUCAAGUUGCAAGUUGUAACUAUACAUCAAACAAUGCUAGUAGUGCUUCCAUUAUUUUCCAUAUCUAAAGAUAAUUCGACCAAAUAUGUCAUAUAAAUAAACAAGUAUGAUAUAUUAUUUUGAACUAAAAUACACAUAAAAUAUUAAAGCUUACCAAGCUCGAGUUCCUCAAGAUACUCCCAGUCUUCUUCAACACUAAUAGGAUUCUUCUCUUCUCUAAGCCAAUCUUGAACACAAACAAGAGCUUGCACAUAUUUAGGAGUCAAAAAACUCCUAAAUGAAUCAAGAAUAUGUCCACCGGUGCUAAACGCGCAUUCCGAUGCCACACUAGAAAUUGGAAUGGCUAACACAUUACGAGCCAACUCUGAAAGAAUAGGAAAUCUAGGAGCAUGUGUUUUCCACCAACUUAAGAUAUCAAAUUCUUCACCAAAAGGCUCUUGUUCUUCACUAAUAUAUUUAUCCAACUCCGAUUUAGCACCCCACUUCCAUUGUGUUCCUUUUGUUUCUUCAAGUGAAGUUUUGUCCUUAUUAAUGAUGCAGUUAUAACACUCUCACUAGAUGUAUUAGAUGUGUUAUUAGAUGAAAUAGAAUUAGAUGGAGAUUGAGGACAAGAUCCAGUUGAAUACUUGUUUAGAUACUAUUCAAACAAAGAAUUCAUAUAAGUAUACACAUCAGCAUUUAUUUUCUUCCUUUUUUCCUCCCCAAAAAGUUCUUCAAGUGUUAAAACCAAAACACUAAAUAGAAUACUACAAGCAAAAUACUACAAGGGCGUAUGGUCGUGUAAACUGUAAUGAGCAGAGAACAGCCUAGAAAAUAAAUUAAAUGGUCAUUUUCUACUUCUAGUAUGAUUAAGCUGGAACAAAGCCAAAACUUUAGAAUAACAUACAGAAAUAUAGGUAGUAGAAAAAGCUCUAAUACUCUGUAGCAAAAGCUCUAACCCUCUAAGAAAACUAAUUCAAAUUGAUCCGGUAAUCAAAAUACUACAAUAUGUUCUUCAUUAAUCUGGUAAUGUAAUACACAUAAUAGACAUAGAUCCCGAAAAAAAUAAACCAUGAUAAUAAUCCAAGAAACUUGUGCAAGGAAAUACUUUCUUGAAUAUUCAGAAAGUCCUAAUCUUUGUUUCUUCAAGGUGUGUGCUUCAACACAUAUUUUCUAGUUGGUUGAUGAAUUAGCUUCUUGUUUUAAGGUGGUUUGCUUAUUAACUGUACGUGGCACAGAGCACUUUAUGCCAGAUGUUCACUUUUAUCCGUAUGAUGAAGAACUUUCAUCUUUGAACAUCUGUGGUUUGGCCUUAAUGCCAAACUGGAAAAAUAAGUGACAAUAAAUGCACUACGUACGGCAAACUUUCUAUUAUCAUUUAAUACACACCUCGGACAAGUUAUGAAUCUGAAUGAAGUCGACAUCGCUGAGGUUGUAGUCAUGAGUCAUAACUCGUGAAUCCGACCGUCGCAGCAACCAAGCAAAAUCGUGAGGGUUUUUUGAAAUUCUUGCCUGCGUCUAACUCUAAGAACUAAACC
rnacentral:lncRNA from 1 species